rnacentral:ncRNA from 1 species
GCUUCGGGGCGGGGUGAAAUUCCCCACCGGCGGUAAUUCGUUAUUGCGAAAAUUCGUUCAUACGAAACUUCGCAUUGCGAUAAGCCCGCAACCUGCACGGCGGUUUUCCGCCCUGCGGCCGAUGCGGUGAAAUUCCGCAGCCGACGGUACAGUCCGGAUGGUAGAGG